rnacentral:rRNA from 1 species
AGAGUUUGAUCCUGGCUCAGGAUGAACGCUAGCUACAGGCUUAACACAUGCAAGUCGAGGGGCAGCAUGGUUUCAGCUUGCUGAGACUGAUGGCGACCGGCGCACGGGUGAGUAACGCGUAUCCAACCUGCCCUUUACUCCGGGAUAGUCUCCUGAAAGGGAGUUUAAUACCGGAUGUGUUUGUCUUUCCGCAUGGGAGCGACAAAUAAAGAUUAAUUGGUAAAGGAUGGGGAUGCGUCCCAUUAGCUAGUUGGCGGGGUAACGGCCCACCAAGGCGACGAUGGGUAGGGGUUCUGAGAGGAAGGUCCCCCACAUUGGAACUGAGACACGGUCCAAACUCCUACGGGAGGCAGCAGUGAGGAAUAUUGGUCAAUGGGCGGGAGCCUGAACCAGCCAAGUAGCGUGAAGGACGACGGCCCUACGGGUUGUAAACUUCUUUUAUAAGGGAAUAAAGUUCGCCACGUGUGGUGUUUUGUAUGUACCUUAUGAAUAAGCAUCGGCUAAUUCCGUGCCAGCAGCCGCGGUAAUACGGAAGAUGCGAGCGUUAUCCGGAUUUAUUGGGUUUAAAGGGAGCGUAGGCGGGCUUUUAAGUCAGCGGUCAAAUGUCGUGGCUCAACCAUGUCAAGCCGUUGAAACUGUAAGCCUUGAGUCUGCACAGGGCACAUGGAAUUCGUGGUGUAGCGGUGAAAUGCUUAGAUAUCACGAAGAACUCCGAUCGCGAAGGCAUUGUGCCGGGGCAUAACUGACGCUGAGGCUCGAAAGUGCGGGUAUCAAACAGGAUUAGAUACCCUGGUAGUCCGCACGGUAAACGAUGAAUGCUCGCUAUGGGCGAUAUAUUGUCCGUGGCCAAGCGAAAGCGUUAAGCAUUCCACCUGGGGAGUACGCCGGCAACGGUGAAACUCAAAGGAAUUGACGGGGGC